rnacentral:rRNA from 1 species
CCUACGGGAGGCAGCAGUGGGGAAUAUUGGACAAUGGGGGGAACCCUGAUCCAGCGACGCCGCGUGAGUGAAGAAGUAUUUCGGUAUGUAAAGCUCUAUCAGCAGGGAAGAAAGAAAUGACGGUACCUGACUAAGAAGCCCCGGCUAACUACGUGCCAGCAGCCGCGGUAAUACGUAGGGGGCAAGCGUUAUCCGGAUUUACUGGGUGUAAAGGGAGCGUAGACGGCAGUGCAAGUCUGGAGUGAAAGGCGGGGGCUCAACCCCCGGACUGCUCUGGAAACUGUACGGCUGGAGUGCAGGAGAGGUAAGUGGAAUGCCUAGUGUAGCGGUGAAAUGCGUAGAUAUUAGGAGGAACACCAGUGGCGAAGGCGGCUUACUGGACUGUAACUGACGUUGAGGCUCGAAAGCGUGGGGAGCAAACAGGAUUAGAUACCCUUGUAGUC